GGGAGUGUGGCUCAGUGGUAGAGUGCUUGCCUUGCAUGCAUGAGGCCCUGGGUUCCAUUCCUCAGCACCA
rnacentral:tRNA from 1 species